GGAGAGAUGGCUGAGUGGUCGAAAGCGCUCGCCUCGAAAGCGAGUGGACACAUUAACGUGUCCCGUGAGUUCGAAUCUCACUCUCUCCG
rnacentral:tRNA from 1 species